GAAAACCAGAAAAGAAAUGGUAAAAAAAAA
rnacentral:rRNA from 1 species